AACGAACGCUGGCGGCAGGCCUAACACAUGCAAGUCGAGCGCACCCUUCGGGGUGAGCGGCGGACGGGUGAGUAACGCGUGGGAACGUGCCCUUCUCUGCGGAAUAGCCUCGGGAAACUGAGAGUAAUACCGCAUACGCCCUUUGGGGGAAAGAUUUAUCGGAGAAGGAUCGGCCCGCGUUGGAUUAGGUAGUUGGUGGGGUAAUGGCUCACCAAGCCGACGAUCCAUAGCUGGUUUGAGAGGAUGAUCAGCCACACUGGGACUGAGACACGGCCCAGACUCCUACGGGAGGCAGCAGUGGGGAAUCUUAGACAAUGGGGGCAACCCUGAUCUAGCCAUGCCGCGUGAGUGAUGAAGGCCUUAGGGUUGUAAAGCUCUUUCAGCUGGGAAGAUAAUGACGGUACCAGCAGAAGAAGCCCCGGCUAACUCCGUG
rnacentral:rRNA from 1 species